rnacentral:rRNA from 1 species
GUAGGCAGCAAGCGUUGUUCGGAAUUACUGGGCGUAAAGAGUGUGUAGGCGGUGUUCUAAGUCUGUCGUGAAAUCUCCCGGCUUAACUGGGAGGGUGCGGCGGAAACCGGAAUGCUAGAGGGUGGGAGAGGAAAGCGGAAUUCCUGGUGUAGCGGUGAAAUGCGUAGAUAUCAGGAGGAACACCUGCGGUGUAGACAGCUUUCUGGACCACUUCUGACGCUGAGACACGAAAGCGUGGGUAGCAAACAGGAUUAGAUACCCUGGUAGUCCACGCCCUAAACGAUGCAUACUUGGUGUGAGCGAUUCAUUUCGUUCGUGCCGGAGCUAACGCGUUAAGUAUGCCGCCUGGGGAGUACGGUCGCAAGGCUG